rnacentral:rRNA from 1 species
CCUACGGGUGGCAGCAGUGAGGAAUAGUGGUCAAUGGGCGCGAGCCUGAACCAGCCAAGUAGCGUGAAGGAUGACUGCCCUACGGGUUGUAAACUUCUUUUAUAAAGGAAUAAAGUGAGGCACGUGUGCCUUUUUGUAUGUACGUUAUGAAUAAGGAUCGGCUAACUCCGUGCCAGCAUCCGCGGUAAUACGGAGGAUCCGAGCGUUAUCCGGAUUUAUUGGGGUUACAGGGAGCGUAGAGGGGUUGGUAAGUCAGUUGUGCAAGUUUGCGGCGCAACCGGAAAAUUGCAAUUGAUACUGGCAGCCUUGAGUACAGUUGCGGUAGGCGGCAUUCGUGGUGUCGCGG